rnacentral:rRNA from 1 species
AACGAACGCUGGCGGCAUGCCUAACACAUGCAAGUCGAACGAGACCUUCGGGUCUAGUGGCGCACGGGUGCGUAACGCGUGGGAACCUGCCCUUAGGUUCGGAAUAACUCCCCGAAAGGGGUGCUAAUACCGGAUAAUGUCUUCGGACCAAAGAUUUAUCGCCUUUGGAUGGGCCCGCGUUGGAUUAGCUAGUUGGUAGGGUAAAAGCCUACCAAGGCGACGAUCCAUAGCUGGUCUGAGAGGAUGAUCAGCCACACUGGGACUGAGACACGGCCCAGACUCCUACGGGAGGCAGCAGUGGGGAAUAUUGGACAAUGGGCGCAAGCCUGAUCCAGCAAUGCCGCGUGAGUGAUGAAGGCCUUAGGGUUGUAAAGCUCUUUUACCCGGGAUGAUAAUGACAGUACCGGGAGAAUAAGCACCGGCUAACUCCGUG